rnacentral:rRNA from 1 species
UGGGGAAUUUUGCGCAAUGGACGAAAGUCUGACGCAGCAACGCCGCGUGGGUGAUGAAGGUCUUCGGAUUGUAAAACCCUGUCGUCAGGGACGAAGGUUGGGGCUUUAAUAGAGUUUCAACUUGACGGUACCUGGAGAGGAAGCCCCGGCUAACUCUGUGCCAGCAGCCGCGGUAAUACAGAGGGGGCAAGCGUUAUUCGGAAUUACUGGGCGUAAAGGGCGCGUAGGCGGUUCUUUAAGUCGGAUGUGCAAUCCCCGAGCUCAACUUGGGAACUGCAUCCGAAACUGGGGAGCUAGAGUGCUGGAGAGGGUGGUGGAAUUCCACGUGUAGCGGUGAAAUGCGUAGAGAUGUGGAGGAACACCAGUGGCGAAGGCGGCCACCUGGACAGUAACUGACGCUGAGGCGCGAAAGUGUGGGUAGCAAACAGG